rnacentral:rRNA from 1 species
UUGUAAUCAGUUUAUAUACCGUCGUUAUUAAAAUAUUUUAUAAGAAUGAUAAUUUUUAAAAUUUUUUNUAAGAAAGUAUAUCAGAUCAAGGUGUAGCUUAUAUUUAAGUAGAAAUGAGUUACAAUAAAUAUAUUUAUACGAAUAUGAAUUUGAAAUAUUUAUUGAAGGUGGAUUUGAUAGUAAAAUUAUAUAGAUUAAUAAUUUGAUUUUAGCUCUAAAAUAUGCACACAUCGCCCGUCACUCUUACUAUUAAGGUAAGAUAAGUCGUAACAUAGUAGAUGUACUGGAAAGUGUAUCUAGAAUGCAAUUUAAAGCUUAUUAAGUAAAGUAUUUCAUUUACAUUGAAAAGAUUUUUGUGCAAAUCAAUAUAAAUUGAUUAAAUUUUAUUUAUUAAUUUUAAAUUUUUUUUUAUAUAAAAUUAUUAAAAAUAAUUAUAAAGUGAUUUGUUUUAGUAUUUAAUAAAGAAAAAAUAAUUUUAAUUAUAGUAUAUUAGUAUUGUGAAAUAAAAUUGAAAUAA